ACAUGUGAGGGCAAUCUACCUGUGACACCCAUCACCCCAUUGAUCACCGGGGUUGAUUCGGUUGAUCGAGCUGGCUAGGCGGGUGUCCCCUUCCUUCCUCAAUGUUCCCUCCUGUAGCUGCGUGCUUCGUCAAAGAGGAUGACCACCCCUGACACAGGAGGGCUGUUCCUCGGUCAAGGGUAUACAAGUAGCUGCGCUCCCCUGACAGAACCUCCAAACAAGCUCCCAAAGUGUAAAGAAAAAAUAAUUUCAUCAAAAUUUACAAGUUUUGCUCUUCCAAAACUACUGU
rnacentral:snRNA from 1 species